UACAGAGGGUGCGAGCGUUAAUCGGAAUUACUGGGCGUAAAGCGUGCGUAGACGGUUAUGUAAGUCAGAUGUGAAAGCCCAGGGCUCAACCUGGGAAUUGCAUUCGAGACUGAAUAGCUAGGGUACGGUAGAGGGAAGUGGAAUUUCCGGUGUAGCGGUGAAAUGCGUAGAUAUCGGAAGGAACAUCAGUGGCGAAAGCGACUUCCUGGACCAGUACCGACGUUCAGGCACGAAAGCUAGGGUAGCGAACGGG
rnacentral:rRNA from 1 species